rnacentral:rRNA from 1 species
UGAGUAACACGUGGGCAACCUGCCCUGCAGAUGGGGAUAACUCCGGGAAACCGGGGCUAAUACUGAAUAAUCAGUUUGUCCGCAUGGACAAACUCUGAAAGACGGUUUCGGCUGUCACUGCAGGAUGGGCCCGCGGCGCAUUAGCUAGUUGGUGGGGUAAUGGCCUACCAAGGCGACGAUGCGUAGCCGACCUGAGAGGGUGAUCGGCCACACUGGGACUGAGACACGGCCCAGACUCCUACGGGAGGCAGCAGUAGGGAAUCUUCCACAAUGGACGAAAGUCUGAUGGAGCAACGCCGCGUGAGCGAAGAAGGUUUUCGGAUCGUAAAGCUCUGUUGUGAGGGAAGAAUAAGUACGGGAGUAACUGCCCGUACCUUGACGGUACCUCAUUAGAAAGCCACGGCUAACUACGUGCCAGCGGCCGCGGUAAUACGUAGGUGGCAAGCGUUGUCCGGAA